AAUCAGUUAGCUAGACUCAAAUGUUCCAUUUUCAAAUCUGAAAAAUUCAUAUCACCUCUCCUUUUGUCUUCUUUCAGAUUAAUACUAAUGACUAGCUAGAUUAACUCAGAUGAGGUUGAACGCAGCCCAAAUUAUAGCUCCCACAUCAUUAAUGAAAGCCCUCGGAUUUUCAGGAAAUUUUUCUGUGUCAUAAAGUGCGAAAUCAAAAUUUUCAAUAUUUUGUUUAUGUUUCCAAUUCCAUAGAUCAAGGAGAUAUCGUUGAGUACGGAUCAUUUUUUAUGGUGAGGACUCAGUUCUAUUCAAGCGAAAGCUUGAGGUGUUGAAUAAACUGAAUGAUGUUCUACCUAUCCAACCAAGCACUUGAAUGAGAGGAAUACAGUAAGCAUAAUAAUCUUCACAAUAGUGAACUUUUUUGAGAAGAAGAAGAGAAUGAAAUUGUUCGAUCUAUUAUUACUUUUGAUUGGAUCAACAUUCGAUACAGGAUUUGCUAAUCCCAUCAAAGAACACACAUUAAAUGGGAUAGUUAUCAAUCAAGAUAAUGUUGAUAACUCUCAUCUGUUAUCCGAUAACGUUCAUCCAUUUCAUGAAAAUUUGAAAGUUGUAAAACAUGUUGAAGAAGGUUUUUCGGAUUUCAAGUAUGCUGAUAUGAUUGAAAUUGAUAAGAUACUACAAGAAAAUGAAAUUAUCGCAGAAAAAAAUACAGAACAAAUUCCAGAAGAUCACAUGAUUCACAAGCCCAAAAAA